rnacentral:SRP_RNA from 1 species
GCCUGGCGCAGUGGCGCUUGCCUGUAGUCCCAGCUACUCCGGAGGCUGAGGUGGGAGGAUCGCUUGAGCCCAGGCUGUAGUGCACUAUGCCUAUUGGGUGUCUGUACUAAGUUUGGCAUCAAUAUGAUGACCUUCUGAGAGCAGGGCACCACCAGGUUGCCUAAGGAGGGGUGAACCGGCCCAGGUCAGAAAUGGAGCAGGUCAAAACUCCUGUGCUGAUCAGUAGUGGGAUCGUGCCUGUGAAUAGCCACUGCACUCCAGCCUGGGCAACAUAGUGAGACCCUGUCUUU